rnacentral:rRNA from 1 species
AGUGAAUAGAUACCCAGGUAGUCCCAGCCGUAAACGAUGUGCGUUAGGUGUAUCGGUGACCACGAGUCACCGAGGUGCCGAAAGAGAAAUCGUGAAACGUACCGCCUGGGAAGUACGGUCGCAAGGCUGAAACUUAAAGGAAUUGGCGGGGGAGCACCACAACAGGUGGAGCCUGCGGUUUAAUCGGACUCAACGCCGGGAAACUCACCAGAUAAGACAGCUGAAUGAUAGUCGGGCUGAAGACUCUACUUGACUAGCUGAGAGGAGGUGCAUGGCCGUCGUCAGUUCGUACUGUGAAGCAUCCUGUUAAGUCAGACAACGAGCGAGACCCACGCCAACAGUUGCCAGCUCGUCCCCCGGGAUGGAGGGGACACUGUUGGGACCGCCUCUGCUAAAGAGGAGGAAGGAAUGGGCAACGGUAGGUCAGCAUGCCCCGAAUUAUCUGGGCUACACGCGGGCUACAAUGGGUGGGACAAUGGGUAUCGAUACCGAAAGGUGAAGGCAAUCUCCUAAACCCAUCCUUAGUUCGGAUUGUGGGCUG